UACGGGAGGCAGCAGGGGGAAUAUUGCACAAUGGGCGCAAGCCUGAUGCAGCCAUGCCGCGUGUAUGAAGAAGGCCUUCGGGUUGUAAAGUACUUUCAGUCGUGAGGAAGGUGUUAAGGUUAAUAACCUUAGCAAUUGACGUUAGCGACAGAAGAAGCACCGACUAACUCCGUGCCAGCAGCCGCGGUAAUACGGAGGGUGCGAGCGUUAAUCGGAAUUACUGGGCGUAAAGGGCACGCAGGCGGUUAAUUAAGUUGGAUGUGAAAUCCCCGGGCUUAACCUGGGAAUGGCAUUCAAGACUGGUUAGCUAGAGUCUUGUAGAGGGGGUAGAAUUCCAUGUGUAGCGGUGAAAUGCGUAGAGAUGUGGAGGAAUACCGGUGGCGAAGGCGGCCCCUGGACAAAGACUGACGCUCAUGUGCGAAAGCGUGGGGAGCAAACAGGGAUUAGAUACC
rnacentral:rRNA from 1 species